UUGAACGCUGGCGGAAUGCUUUACACAUGCAAGUCGAGCGGCAGCGCGGGGCAACCUGGCGGCGAGCGGCGAACGGGUGAGUAACAUAUCGGAACGUACCCUAUCGUGGGGGAUAACACAUCGAAAGAUGUGCUAAUACCGCAUACGACCUGAGGGUGAAAGCGGGGGAUCGCAAGACCUCGCGCGACAGGAGCGGCCGAUAUCGGAUUAGCUAGUUGGUGAGGUAAAGGCUCACCAAGGCGACGAUCCGUAGCUGGUCUGAGAGGACGACCAGCCACACUGGAACUGAGACACGGUCCAGACUCCUACGGGAGGCAGCAGUGGGGAAUUUUGGACAAUGGGCGCAAGCCUGAUCCAGCCAUUCCGCGUGAGUGAAGAAGGCCUUCGGGUUGUAAAGCUCUUUCGGCCGGGAAGAAAUCGCAUCCUCUAAUACGGGGUGUGGAUGACGGUACCGGAAGAAGAAGCACCGGCUAACUACGU
rnacentral:rRNA from 1 species